rnacentral:lncRNA from 1 species
CCUUCGUGGGUUACUUGUAAAGUGUCCUACAUAUGUUUGGCUCUAUCACAUUGAGAAAUCCUGAAGAACUCAUCGUAUAAGAGUGCGGAGGUUAUAAUAUUUUUCGAUUUCAAAUCAAGCUGCACUUUUCUCUUUUCCUCGUUGGUCAAGAGACUUCUAGGUUUCUCUUUGGUUUCUCCAUCCACCAUGUAUAGUGAAAUGAAAGGUCCAUACACUGCAGCAUCCCAAACAUUUGUAUCAAUAGCCUUAAUAAAUAUCCUUAUUCGGAUUUUCCAGUAGGCGUACCUC